CGGGUGAGUAAUACAUCGGAACGUGUCUUCUAGUGGGGGAUAACUGCCCGAAAGGGCAGCUAAUACCGCAUGAGACCUGAGGGUGAAAGCGGGGGAUCGCAAGACCUCGCGCUGGAAGAGCGGCCGAUGUCCGAUUAGCUAGUUGGUGAGGUAAAGGCUCACCAAGGCGACGAUCGGUAGCUGGUCUGAGAGGACAACCAGCCACACUGGGACUGAGACACGGCCCAG
rnacentral:rRNA from 1 species